UAAUACCCAUCUAGUCUGACGGUACCCCCUUAGGAAGCACCGGCUAACUUCGUGCCAGCAGCCGCGGUAAUACGAAGGGUGCAAACGUUGUUUUGAAUUAUUGGGGGUAAAACGCGCGUAGGCGGUUUUGUAAGUCGGAUGUGAAAGCCCUCGGCUUAACCGAGGGAAUUCAUUUGAAACUGCAAGGCUUGAGUGUUGGAGAGGGUAGCGGAAUUCCGGUGUAGCGGUGAAAUUCGUAGAUAUUUGGAGGAACACCCCUGGCGAAGGCGGCUCCCUGGACCAAUAUUGACGCUGAGGCGCGAAAGCGUGGGGAGCAAACAGGAUUAGAUACCCUGGUAGUCCACGCCCUAAACGAUGUUCACUAGAUGUUGGGGGAAUCACCUGCUUCAGUGUCGCAGCUA
rnacentral:rRNA from 1 species